GACGAACGCUGGCGGCGUGCUUAACACAUGCAAGUCGAACGGAAAGGCCCUGCUUUUGUGGGGUGCUCGAGUGGCGAACGGGUGAGUAACACGUGAGUAACCUGCCCUUGACUUUGGGAUAACUUCAGGAAACUGGGGCUAAUACCGGAUAGGAGCUCCUGCUGCAUGGUGGGGGUUGGAAAGUUUCGGCGGUUGGGGAUGGACUCGCGGCUUAUCAGCUUGUUGGUGGGGUAGUGGCUUACCAAGGCUUUGACGGGUAGCCGGCCUGAGAGGGUGACCGGCCACAUUGGGACUGAGAUACGGCCCAGACUCCUACGGGAGGCAGCAGUGGGGAAUAUUACACAAUGGGCGGAAGCCUGAUGAAGCAACGCCGCGUGCGGGAUAACGGCCUUCGGGUUGUAAACCGCUUUCGCCUGUGACGAAGCGUGAGUGACGGUAAUGGGUAAAGAAGCACCGGCUAAAUACGUG
rnacentral:rRNA from 1 species